rnacentral:rRNA from 1 species
GGAACCACCUGAUCCCAUCCCGAACUCAGCAGUGAAACGAUGCAUCGCCGAUGGUAGUGUGGGGUUUCCCCAUGUGAGAGUAGGUCAUCGUCAAGAUU